CAGUAGCGUAUAUUAAAGUUGUUGCGGUUAAAAGCUCGUAGUUGGAUUUCUGCGCGGGACGGGUGGUCCCCUUCUUAAGGGUGAAUCUUCUUCGGCCUGUGCAUCUACCUGAAAAACGGAUUUGUGCUUGAUUGCAUGAUUCGUGUUUUAGGUCAUUUACUUUGAGGAAAUUAGAGUGUUUAUAGCAUGCAAUUGCAUUGAAUAUAUUAGCAUGGGAUAAUAAUAUAAGACUGAGUUUUUAUUUUGUUGGUUUCUAAGAAUUCAGUAAUGAUAAAUAGGGGUUGUCGGGGGUACUAGUAUUAACGCGUCAGAGGUGGAAUUCUUGGAUUGCGUUACGACUAACUACUGCGAAAGCAUUUACCAAGGAUGUUUUCAUUGAUCAAGAACGAAAGUUUGGGGAUCGAAGACGAUCAGAUACCAU
rnacentral:rRNA from 1 species